rnacentral:misc_RNA from 1 species
GAAAUGCGAUACGUCGUGUGAAUUGCAGAAUUAUGUGAAACACGAAUAUUCGAACGUACAUGACUCUCUCCUUUCGGAGAGAAUACUUUUUUGAGCCUCGUAAUCAAUAUUGAUCCAUAAAAUUUAUUUUUUGGGUUUUAUGAAAGAUGAAUUAUUUUUUGUAAUAAUAAUUCACCUUUUCAAAAUGAUGGGAGUAGACAUUGGAAUUUGAAGAUUACGCACUCGUUGAAAUUUUAUUAGUAUUGAGCUCCUUCGGGACUUAAUCGAAAAUUUUUGAGAGCAUUUAUUUUUCUAUUUCAAUAUCCCUAUCUUACAGAGUCUAAACAACUCACUUUUUUAAAUCUCGAGCUCAAAUAAAGUAAGGCUACCCGCUGAAUUUAA